rnacentral:lncRNA from 1 species
AUGGGAAAAAUGCUUUGUCCCUACAGCAGAAGUGGCCGCACAGAUGGUUUCACCUCUGAGCUAAGAAGCAACCUGAGUGUUGAGCUGUACCUCGCACAGAAAAGAGUGAAUCAUCCCAAGGAGAGAGGGUGGGCUGUAACUGUGAUGGCCUCAUGCUGGACCUUUACCAGUACGGGCUCGCGGCCAUUAACCAGAAGGUGGGGAAUUCAGUCCCUGCAAAUGGGCUGGGCAGAGGCUUGGAGACUCCUUUGGAAAACACCCUGCCUAAAAUAAUAGGUAUAUGAUGUGUAUUAAUAUGGAAUAUUAUCUCCCAUUUUGCAUAGUAUCAAAAAGUAU